AAUUAAAAUUUUCUCCCGGAAAAGGUGCUACACUCUAAACAUCGAAGCAAGAUUUCUGGUACAUUUUAGAUACAAAUAAAAAAAAAAAAAAAAUACAUAUAAUACAAUCAAUCGAUCCGUCGCUACGCUCUAAAUCUAAAAAAGUAGAUAGUAAUAUACUAUUCAGAAUAACUGAUUUUAUGAUAAACUGAACAUGUGCUACAAUUCACAUAUUUAAUAUAUUCCGCAGACAUCAAACAUAAUAAAGGACAUCAAACACCAAAUUAAUGACAACAGUAGAGUAUUUAUAGGGGGAAAUUAAUGAUGUAGAUCUCCGACUUGAAAUUUUUUUCAGUAUCAAUUAUUUGUGUGGCUAGAUGCAAACCAGGAUCUAGAUUUGAACGUUUCUUAACGGUUCAGAUUUCGAUAACCGUAAAGAUUUCGAAUUGGUAAUUUCUAGAUUUGUAUAUUCCGUCUUUCAAUGCGCUCCACGCCGCUUAUCUCGAGGGAAUUUCAUUAGUUUAAUGAAAAUACUCAUCGUUUCCGAAUUAAAAAGUAUUCGCGCUUUUCUUUAUAUAUUCGGAAGUCGCGAAACGAUGAAAUAAAGGACGGUAUUUAAUUCGAGCGCAUAUGGUAGUUAUUGUUAUAAAUCUGCAAUUUUUAGACUGUUCAACAAAUUACAUACAUAUUUUUCGGCACGGUGG